CGCUGGGGGCUCCCGCCGCGACGGUGCGGCCCGCCAUUGUCGGGGGCAUGGAGGGCGAGAGCACGUCGGCGCUGCUGUCGGGCUUCGUCUUCGGCGCCCUCGCCUUCCAGCACCUCAGCACCGACUCGGACACGGAAGGUUUUCUUCUUGGAGAUGUGAAAGGUGAAGCCAAGAACAGCAUUACUGACUCACAAAUGGAUGAUGUUGAAGUUGUGUAUACAAUCGAUAUACAGAAGCAUAUUCCAUGCUACCAGUUGUUCAGCUUUUAUAAUUCUGCAGGAGAACUGAAUGAACUUGCCCUGAAGAAAAUACUAUCAGGCUGUAAGAAGAAUGUAAUAGGAUGGUACAAAUUCAGACGUAACACAGACCAGACCAUGACAUUCCGGGAAAGACUGCUUCACAAGAACUUACAGUCACACCUAUCAAACCAGGGCCUUGUAUUCCUGUUAUUAACCUCUAGUGUGAUGACAGAAAGUUGUUCUACUUACAGACUGGAACAUGCCUUACAUCGGCCACAAGAAGGUCUUUUCCAGAAGGUUCCUUUGGUGGUUACCAACUUGGGUAUGGCAGAACAGCAAGGUUACAGAACAGUAUCUGGUUCCUGUGUAUCUUCAGGGUUUGUGAGAGCAGUGAGACAACACAGGUCAGAAUUCUUUCAUGAAGAUGGAUCCUUACAAGAGGUUCAUAAGAUAAAUGAGAUGUAUGCCACCUUGCAGGAGGAACUGAAGGAAAUAUGCUCUACAGUAGAAGUCAGUGAACGAUCUGUAGAGAAACUCUUAGCAGAAGUGAGCCAGUUAAAAGAAGAAAUAAAGAGGAAAAAGCAACAAACUUGUUCAGAAGUCAAAGACUACCCAGGAGAGCCAAAGGAGAAUGUUCUCCUUUGUCAGGCACUGCAAACAUUUUUCCCCAAUUCUGGACUUCAGACAUGUAUUGUUUCCUUCAAAGGCCAACAUAUACCAAAGAACUGCUGUAACAUUGACCAUAAUAUUAAUGUCAAGGACAAACUGACUCUCAUGGUAGAGGAAGGAGACUUCACUGAAGCUGAAGUAAGACACCUAACCAAGCGUAAAGUCAGAGGGACCACAACAGGAUCAAAGUCAUUCAAGAAAUCCAGAUCACUUCAGCUUCACCAAAAAUUACUUCAAGACCAAGAGGACAGCGACCAGGAAGGGAAGCUUACACUGAGCAGCGCUGAAACAGAUGAGGAUGCAUUUGAAAAAAGAGACACAAAUGAAUACUCAUACUCUCCUACUUUCUGAUGCGUUAAAGAUUUGUCCAGAUCCAGACCUUCCACCAAGAGCUACUGCCAGCACAUUCAAGUAACAUAUUAAUUUAUAACACUGCAGGGAUGAAAGUAACAGUGCAUUUUUGCAAAACAGCUUCCCCCCCCCCCCCAGUGGAUGAAUCCUGUUUGGCACAGUGACAAGUCCAGAUGACAUUCCCUCAUUUUGCCUGACAGAGCUAGAUCUGUAUUCUCUCAGGGUUUAAAGACUACAGUAGCAGGCUGUUAGCAGUCAUAUAACCAUAUCACAUACUGCCUCAGAGUAAUACAACUUGAAGCUGCUGUUGGAGAAGCAGUAACAUGCUUAACCAGAAUGAUCUGUCUGCAUAAACUGCCACAAUUUAACUACUUUAAUCUGUCUUUAGUACUUGUUUAUUCCUCCCCUUUCCAAUCCUACAAGGGAAAAGACAGCCACCUGAACUUUAGCAAGACCUGUAAGUGGAGGAAGUGGUCCAGGCAGCUGCCAAUUUCUGUUGUUGCUUUCAUCUUCUAUACUUCUGACAACACAUUUUAGAGACUUGACACUUCAUAAAAAACCAAAAAUCAACCAUCAUCCACCCUUCAGUCAGCAAUGCAUUAUGCAAGUCAACCGCAUUUCCAGUAAACAAGCAUAUAAUCAUGAAAA